GUGCAACCUGCCUUUAUCAGGGGGAUAGCCUUUCGAAAGGAAGAUUAAUACCCCAUAAUAUAUCAGAUGGCAUCAUUUGAUAUUGAAAACUACGGUGGAUAAAGAUGGGCACGCGCAGGAUUAGAUAGUUGGUAGGGUAACGGCCUACCAAGUCAACGAUCCUUAGGGGGCCUGAGAGGGUGAUCCCCCACACUGGUACUGAGACACGGACCAGACUCCUACGGGAGGCAGCAGUGAGGAAUAUUGGACAAUGGGUGAGAGCCUGAUCCAGCCAUCCCGCGUGAAGGACGACGGCCCUAUGGGUUGUAAACUUCUUUUGUAUAGGGAUAAACCUACUCUCGUGAGAGUAGCUGAAGGUACUAUACGAAUAAGCACCGGCUAACUCCGUGCCAGCAGCCGCGGUAAUACGGAGGGUGCAAGCGUUAUCCGGAUUUAUUGGGUUUAAAGGGUCCGUAGGCUGAUUUGUAAGUCAGUGGUGAAAUCUCACAGCUCAACUGUGA
rnacentral:rRNA from 1 species